rnacentral:rRNA from 1 species
AUACGUAGGUGACAAGCGUUGUCCGGAAUUACUGGGUGUAAAGGGCGUGUAGGCGGGGAUGCAAGUCAGAUGUGAAAUUCCGGGGCUCAACCCCGGCACUGCAUCUGAAACUGUGUCUCUUGAGUGCUGGAGAGGAAAGCGGAAUUCCUAGUGUAGCGGUGAAAUGCGUAGAUAUUAGGAGGAACACCAGUGGCGAAGGCGGCUUUCUGGACAGUAACUGACGCUGAGGCGCGAAAGCGUGGGUAGCGAACAGGAUUAGAUACCCUGGUAGUCCACGCCGUAAACGAUGGAUACUAGGUGUAGGAGGUAUCGACCCCUUCUGUGCCGGAGUUAACACAAUAAGUAUCCCACCUGGGGAGUACGGCCGCAAGGUUGAAACUCAAAUGAAUUGACGGGG